rnacentral:rRNA from 1 species
UACAGAGGGUGCGAGCGUUUAAUCGGAAUUACUGGGCGUAAAGGGCUCGUAGGCGGCCAACUAAGUCGGACGUGAAAUCCCUCGGCUUAACCGAGGAACUGCCCUCCAAACUGCUUCGCUUGAGACCGGGAGAGGUGAGUGGAAUUCCCAGUGUAGCGGUGAAAUGCGUAGAUAUCGGGAGGAACACCAGUGGCGAAGGCGCUUUCUGGACCAAUACUGACGCUGAGGUGCGAAAGCGUGGGGAGCAAACAGG